rnacentral:rRNA from 1 species
CGGAGGAUCCAAGCGUUAUCCGGAAUCAUUGGGUUUAAAGGGUCCGUAGGCGGUUUGGUAAGUCAGUGGUGAAAGCCCAUCGCUCAACGGUGGAACGGCCAUUGAUACUGCCAGACUUGAAUUACUGGGAAGUAACUAGAAUAUGUAGUGUAGCGGUGAAAUGCUUAGAGAUUACAUGGAAUACCAAUUGCGAAGGCAGGUUACUACCAGUGGAUUGACGCUGAUGGACGAAAGCGUGGGUAGCGAACAGGAUUAGAUACCCUGGUAGUCCACGCCGUAAACGAUGGAUACUAGCUGUUGGGGGCAACUUCAGUGGCUAAGCGAAAGUGAUAAGUAUCCCACCUGGGGAGUACGUUCGCAAGGUUG